AGAAUCAACGCUGGCGGCGUGCCUAACACAUGCAAGUCGCACGAGAAAGGGACUUCGGUCCUGAGUACAGUGGCGCACGGGUGAGUAACACGUGAAUCAUCUACCUUCGAGUGGGGAAUAACUGAGAGAAAUCUUAGCUAAUACCGCAUAAUACCUACGGGUCAAAGCAGCAAUGCGCUUGAAGAGGAGUUCGCGGCAGAUUAGUUAGUUGGCGGGGUAAUGGCCCACCAAGACGAUGAUCUGUAUCCGGCCUGAGAGGGCGCACGGACACACUGGAACUGAAACACGGUCCAGACUCCUACGGGAGGCAGCAGUGGGGAAUUUUGCGCAAUGGGGGAAACCCUGACGCAGCAACGCCGCGUGGAGGAUGAAAUAUCUUGGUAUGUAAACUCCUUUCGAUGGGGAAGAUAAUGACGGUACCCAUAGAAGAAGCCCCGGCUAACUUCGCGCCAGCAGCCGC
rnacentral:rRNA from 1 species